AACUUUCAACAACGGAUCUCUUGGUUCUCACUUCGAGGAAGAGCGUAGCAAACUGCGAAAAGUAAUGCGAUUUGCAAUAUCGUGAAUCAUCGAAUUCUUGAACGCACAUUGCACCUUUUAGUUUUGCCUAAAAGGUCUGCCUGUUUGAGUGUUUUUAUCAUCAUCUCCGUCUUCACUUGUGUUCUCACUGUGUGGUGCGGGAGCUGGCUUUGCGCGCCUGGCGUGCCUGGCUUAAUUGCAUGAGAUCUGCCGCUGCAAAGCGACGCUGUCUAUUAGUUUAAUGUGGCUCUUUACGUGCCCAAGUAGUAGUUCAGCGGCGACGAGCAGCGGGUUUGGAUCUAACACACCAGCCGACCGGUCAUCACUGACCAGCCGGCCUGGCGUCUCUUUAAAAUAAACCUCAAAUCAGGUAGGAGUACCCACUGAACUUAAGCAUAUCAAUAAGCGGAGGCU
rnacentral:misc_RNA from 1 species